UAAGCGACACAGUCCUCAAGGACAGCACCAAGGCCUGUGGGUAGAAGCUACAGAGAAGCAGAAAGUCCUUCUGCUUUUAGCAAAUCCAAAAGGCAAAUCUAUCAAAAGCUGGGCUGGACCAACUCAAGAGAUGGCGAGCUCCCCACGCCUGGAGAGACAGACGCAGUGACUGAGUGACUGAAUGACCACUUGGCAGGACGAUGGGAAAGGCAUUCUGACAUUGGCUGGGGUUGGACCAAACGGCCUUGCAUGCUUUAAUCAUACCCACUUUGGGAGGUGAGGAAAGGCCCCCAGGAUGCGUGCCCAGUUAUGUAUGGGCAAGCGCGUAUGCCCUACCAUGACCUGCAAGGCCCCUGAAGGCACCACCCAAUAGAACUUCCAGGGAUGAGGAAAAUGUUCUAUAUCUGUGCUGUCCCAGCUAUCGAAUACUUGAUACGUGGCUACUGAGACUAGAAGGAAACUUCUCCUUUCUUUAACUUCAGUUAAACAGCCACAGGUUGCCAGUGGCUCCCAGAUUGUACAACAUUGCCAUCCAUCCCCGCCGCCUCCUCACACUCUCUCUGGCCUUUUCUCCCACUGCUGUCCUCCGCCUCACUCCACUUCAGCCCCACUGGGCUCCUCAUUGUCCCUAGAGCACGCCAAGCACACGCCCACCUCAGAGCCUUCCCUGGCCCCUCCCUCUCCUGGGUGGCUGUCCCUGAUGCAGCCCCCUGGCCAACUCUUUCAGCUCCGUGUCUCUGCUUCAAUGUCAACGAGGCCUUCUUCAGCGAGGCCAGCCCUGACCAUAUAUUUUGAAAGGCAACUUGCCUGACCACAGGCUCUGUCUUUAUGUACGUCUGUUGUGUUGUCUGUCUCCCCAGCGGGAGGGCAAGCAUCAUGAAGGUGGGAUCUUCAGGUUUUCUUCCCCAAGAGCCUAGAACAUUACCUGGCAUGGAGCAGGCUCUCAAUAAGUACUUAUUGGAUGUAUUUCAAGGCUGAAAUGAGUAACACGGAGGGUGCCCCAUGCUGUGGGUUCUUCCCAUUACAGGGUGUUUAAGGCCUGAUAUUAGUCAGUCAACCAGGCUUCCUGGGCCACACACACCUGCUGGGUGCUACGCCAGGUGCUGGCACCUGGGACCGGGCUGCCAGGGGCACAUAAAACAGGAAACCCAGACUAGAAGGGAGCUCAGAGCUCCUCCGAGGAAGAAACAGUCAAGCUGAGUGAAGCCAGAUGAAGAGAGUAGGUGUUCGUGAGAGAGUAAAGGAAAAGCAUUUUGGGAAAAUGGAACAGCAUGUGCAAAGGACUGCAGGCAGGAAAGAGAACGGCCCUUUGAAGGAAACAUGGCUGAAGGCAAAUGAUGGGGGGAAUAGGAUGAGAUGAGGCUGGUGGGCUAAGUGGAGCCAGAUAGGAAGGGACUUGGGGCCCAAAGGAACAAAUCUGGAAUUUCUCCUAAAAGCAGUACCCCUGGUGCCUGCAUCCCAGUUCCUACCCCUAGUUUCCCCUGUAGCUGCGGAGGCAAGCUCCAUGUAAGGUCAGACUUACCCAGCACUGUCAGGAUCCCAUGCAAGCACAGCUGUCCACCUCCUGCCCAGAGCCUUCUCUGAGGCUGCAGGAGGCCCCUUCAACCUUUGCCACAUGGGAAACUCCCAGUGAAUGCAGCACUGGAGCCUGCGUCCAUCCUUCAGACCAACAAUGCUGCAGGUCCUGAGGCCCGAGCUGGAUCCAGUCCCUGUGGUCUGCAGUGAUGCCUCAAUAACACACACCUGCACUGCCUGUCCUUCUUCCGUCUCUCACACUCCCUGCUCACGCCCUCUCAGCGCCUCCCUCCUGGCAUCACCUCCCCAAUAAACUAUCUGCACCUGAAUCCUUGUCUCAGGCUCUGCUUUUGCAGGAGCCCUAACCAAGGGCCCCACGAGAGUUUUGUACAGCAGCAUGGCACGUGCAGGCUGACAUUUUUUAAAGCUCAUGCUGGUUAUUGUGUGGAGAAGACUAUGGGGACAGGAGGAGGCAUGACAAGCAGUGAGGGACACUUGCAGAGGGGCAGUGAGAGGGGCUGGUAGCCGGCACUGGACUGGUGGCAGUGGAAAGAGACAAAUAGGGGAUGGACACAAAUGGGGGUGCUUGGCUCCCCCAAAGAACCAGAGGCUUGAGAGGCAAGGAGGGGUGACAUGGAGGCAAGGAGGGGUGACAUGGAGGCCAGGCUUGGGUCAUGCCUGGCUUUGGGAAUCAGCCUCACCAAGUUCCAUCCCUCCAGCCCCGCCUGGCUGUGAAGACCUGCUGCAAAGGGGUUAUUUUUAGAGAGCUGGGUGUUUACUUGAAGGAUUUAAAGACAGGCUUUAUUUUUAACUCCACUCCCAAUGGCAGGGACUCGCUGGUAUGGACUUAGGAAGUCAAGUGGAAGUUGGACUGGGCUUUGGAAACCCAGAAGAGAGAAGCGGCAUUUGGGGAAGGAUGAAGCUUAAGGGAGACAGCUGGCCUCACCACGUUCUACUCAUCUCGAGCUUCGGACUCGCAACCAGAGGUGGCCCCUGCAGGGGGCUUUUCCAGACCUCCUUGGGACUGCUAGUUGCUCUUUCCGUUGGACCCCAUCAAUUUCAGUUCCUUCCUCCCUCUCCUCCACCACCGACUGUCCAAUCCCCGCGUGGCUUUGCCCUCAACAUGGGAGUCCCCAGACGACGCUGCCCACACUGAUUCACCACUGGGUGCCCAGCGCCCUGGCACAAGCUGGCACAGGAUGAGAUCAUUGAGAUUAGAGAAGAAAAUGGAUCUGGCCAAGGACAUACAACUAAGAAAUGGUGGUGCCACAGAUGGAGAAACUGACACUCAGACAGGCCACUGAUCUGCCCAGGUCAAUGAGCCAAAAAAUGGCAGGGCCAGGAUUUGGCCAUAGGCCUGCUUAACUCUGAAGACCAUGUGCCCAGUCUCUGGCCCAGGCCAUUUACAUCCCCAGGAGGACUGCUACAG